ensembl:piRNA 21ur-11338 ncRNA
UUUGGUUUCGAUGUUGAAGUA